UAAAAAGUAAACAAAUUUAUUAAUUUGACGGAAUUAACGAUACAUAUAUAUAAUAUCUAACUUAAUCAGCUAUAAUCAACACUACAACAAAAACGGUAUAUAACGACACUUUUAAAUGUCGAUACAGAUAAAAAAAAAAUGCUGCUGGCUAAAUUACCGACACUUUUAAAAAAUGUUACAAUAUGUGGGAUCGCUUGAUAUAUAGUGACAGUUUAAAAGUGUCGGUAUAAUUUUAAAAAAAUUGCUGCUAAUUUACUAACACUUAUUUAAACAUUUAGUAACCGCCGAAACUCUAACUCGUUGGCUGCGGUGGCAGAGGAGGAGGAGAGCGAAGGGCUCUUCGCCUAGGGUUUCAGUGGAUUGAGUGAGAAGGGAAGGGGAGAUGGUGAUCAAUUUUUUUUUCUUUUUUAUUUGUAAUCGGCCCGAAUGGGCUGACUGUUGUGGGUUGAGUAAAAUAACCUUUUAUUUUUUGUUGGAUUGAGUUUUAUAUUUAGGUCUUAAUAGAUUUUUUUAAAAAUUUUGGUAUAAAUGGGACACUUACAUAAAACUAUUCCAAACAUGUGUCCCUAUAAACUAAUUCUAUUGUAGUGUAAUCAUUUCACAGGAAAAAAUAAAA
rnacentral:lncRNA from 1 species